rnacentral:rRNA from 1 species
GUGCCAGCCGCCGCGGUAAUACGUAGGAAGCAAGCGUUAUCCGGAUUUACUGGGCGUAAAGUGGACGUAGGCGGUCUUUCAAGUCGGAUGUGAAAUCUCCUGGCUUAACUGGGAGGGGUCAUCCGAUACUGUUGGACUAGAGGACAUCAGGGGAAGGUGGAAUUCCCGGUGUAGUGGUGAAAUGCGUAGAUAUCGGGAGGAACACCAGUGGCGAAGGCGGCCUUCCAGGAUGUUUCUGACGCUGAGGUCCGAAAGUGUGGGGAGCGAACAGGAUUAGAUACCCUGGUAGUCCACACCGUAAACUAUGGAUACUAGGUAUAGGGAGUUUCGACCCUCUCUGUGCCGAAGCUAACGCUUUAAGUAUCCCGCCUGGGGACUACGGCCGCAAGGUUAAA